GCCGUCGUGCUGGAAUUGGUAGACAGGCUGGUUUGAGGGAUCAGUGAACGUAGUUCGUGAGAGUUCGAGUCUCUCCGACGGCACCA
rnacentral:tRNA from 1 species